GCCAGUGCCACUAGACUAGACUGCGCGGCGUCCUAAACAAACCCGCGUUGUCUGUCUUGACUUUUACAAGUCACAACCUGUAUAGUGUAUAGUCCUUAUCUUAGUUUCCUGUGUGUAAUGUGUAGUUUGGGUGGUUUACUACAAAAUAUAAUUAAAGGAGUCUAAAGAGUCAUGUUGGAGACCCAUACGUCUCAUGUCGGGCCGAAUGCUUCACUCACUCCGACUGUCCUUCUCACAAACCAUCCUGCCUUAAUGCCAAGUGUGUGGACGUAUGUGCGGGAGUUUGUGGAGUUAACGCCAACUUUCGCGUAAGAGACGGAACUACAGCUGUCUGCAGUUGUCCCAAAGACAUGACGGGAAACCCUUUUGUCAGCUGUCGCCCAUUCGAGAAGAGGUAAAGAAGAAAAUCAACAGACUGCUUGACAUGUGGAAAGGGAAAGGAGACAGACACAAGAGGUCACACACAAGAGACUUCUUCAAUUAAAAGUUUUCAACGAUCUCCAAACUAUAAGCAAGAAUCAAGGAUAAUUGCUUAAGACCGGAUGCUAUUGAACAAUUAUUUGAAAAAUAUAUA